AAAGGGCCGCGGUAAUUUGACCGUGCGAAGGUAGCAUAAUCAUUUGUCUUUUAAUUGUAGGCUGGAAUGAAGGGCUGGAUGAAGGGCUAAGUGUCUCGUUAUUAUAAUUAAAAUUUUACUUUUAAGUGAAAAGGCUUAAAUAUAGUUAAGUGAAGAUAAGACCCUAUAAAACUUAUAUAUGAAUUUAAGCAUAGUCUAUUUAAUUAGUUUAAAGUGGGGUGAUUAAUUCGUAUUUUGUUGGGGCGACAAGAAUAGAAAUAUAUCUGUUCUUAUAAUAAGUUAGUAGUCAUUAUGAAGUGAGCCUUUAGUAGGGAUUAAAAGAAUAAGUUACUUUAGGGAUAACAGCGUAAUUUUCCUUGAGAGACCUAAUCGACAGGAGUAGUUGCGACCUCGAUGUUGAAUUAAAAUUUUCUAUCAAGUGCAGCAGCUUGAUUAGAUAGUCUGUUCGACUAUUAAAUUUUUACAUGAUUU
rnacentral:rRNA from 1 species